rnacentral:rRNA from 1 species
AGUGAACGCUGGCGGUAGGCCUAACACAUGCAAGUCGAACGGCAGCACAGUAAGAGCUUGCUCUUACGGGUGGCGAGUGGCGGACGGGUGAGGAAUACAUCGGAAUCUACUUUUUCGUGGGGGAUAACGUAGGGAAACUGACGCUAAUACCGCAUACGACCUACGGGUGAAAGCAGGGGAUCUUCGGACCUUGCGCGAUUGAAUGAGCCGAUGUCGGAUUAGCUAGUUGGCGGGGUAAAGGCCCACCAAGGCGACGAUCCGUAGCUGGUCUGAGAGGAUGAUCCGCCACACUGGAACCGAGACCCGGUCCAGACUCCUACGGGAGGCCGCCGUGGGGAAUAUUGGCCCAUGGGCGGAAGCCUGAUCCAGCCAUACCGCGUGGGUGAAGAAGGCCUUCGGGUUGUAAAGCCCUUUUGUUGGGAAAGAAACGCAGCAGGUUAAUACCCCGCUGUUCUGACGGUACCCAAAGAAUAAGCCCCGGCCAACUUCGUG